AGCGGGGUAGAGGAAUUGGUCAACUCAUCAGGCUCAUGACCUGAAGACUGCAGGUUCGAAUCCUAUCCUCGCCU
rnacentral:tRNA from 1 species